AGCGAACGCUGGCGGCAGGCCUAACACAUGCAAGUCGAACGGCAGCACAGUAUGAGCUUGCUCUUACGGGUGGCGAGUGGCGGACGGUGGAGGAAUACUUCGUAAUCUACUUUUUCGUGGGGGAUAACGUCGGGAAAGUUAGGCUAAUACCGCAUAUGCCCUAUGUGUGACAGCAGGGGUCUGUCGAACCUUGUGCGUUUGAUUGUGCCGAUGUCGGAUUAGCUAGUUGGGGGGGUAGGGGCCUACCAAGGCGACGAUCCGUAGCUGGUCGGAGGGGAGGGUGAGCGACACUGGAGCGGAGGAGCGGUCGCGACUCCUACGAGGGGCAGCAGUGGGGAAUAUUAGAGAAUGGGGGCAGGCCGGAUCCUGCCGUACCGCGUGGGGGAGGAAGGAGUUCGGGUGGUAGAGCCCUUUUGUUGGGAGAGAAGAGCAGCUGGUUAAUACCCCGCUGUUCUGACGGUACCCGGAGAAGAAGCACCGGCUAACUUCGUG
rnacentral:rRNA from 1 species